CUGACUACUGAGGAAUCCUCGGGCUUCAAAGAUUUGCCUGUAGUGCUCUGCAAGGUGCCGCAGACAUGACUGAUUUUCAAUACCAAGAAUGGAAGAAUGAAGGAUGUUCACAUCAAUCAAAAAGGCUUUUAGACCAGCUGCCAAAGGCCAAUGUUGUUCUCUUGUGAUACCUUUUUGGAGUGUUACAUAACAUUGAGCAGCAUUCCUCAGACAAUCAGAUGACAGCUUAUAAUUUAUCUGCGUGUAUAGCCUCAAGCAUUAUUUUCCUGCCUACUCCCUGCAGCUCAGAAGUGGUAAAUGAGUUCACCAAAAAGGUUUCUAUUGUACAAUUUCUCAUUGAAAACUGCCUCACCAUAUUUGGAGAAGACAUCACUUCCCUCUUGGAGAAGAGCUCAAUGACUUGUGACAACAGUGAUGCUUCAGGUACCUUGAAAAAUUCAGUUGGUUUUGAUGAGAAACAGUGAGUGGGGAUGCCAGGAGUCAUGAGAGAUGCUUAGGCAGUGGCUGUCCUGGAGUCCAGGGCAAGCCCCAAGCACAAUGAUGCAGGACCCAGGACUCCAUCUGCUCAUUCUUCAUAAGGUUGGCUCACAGGUCAUCUGCUGAGAAGGUCACCUGCUCCUCCUUCACUGUGCUCACUGAAUGAGGACAUUCCAAGAUCCCAGCUCCUCCCAUUUGAACUUUCCUUUUCCUAAUCCCAUGCAUCUGUGUUUGAGAAAAUAUUCCCACAUGAUUAUCUAUCUUCCCAUUUCUUCCAUGUUGUAUUACUUUAUUAUUAAUAAUAAAUGCACAUAUUGUGUA